UCCGGUGACGCUAGCGGAGUGGACCCACCCGUUCCCAUCUCGAACACGGAAGUGAAACGCUCCAGCGCCGACGAUACUGCGUGGGUGACUGCGUGGGAAAAUAGGUCGCCGCCGGGA
rnacentral:rRNA from 1 species